CGUAGGGUGCAAGCGUUGUCCGGAAUUAUUGGGCGUAAAGAGCUCGUAGGCGGUUUGUCGCGUCGAAUGUGAAAUCCCGGGGCUCAACCCCGGGUCUGCAUUCGAUACGGGCAGACUAGAGUUCGGUAGGGGAGUCUGGAAUUCCUGGUGUAGCGGUGAAAUGCGCAGAUAUCAGGAGGAACACCGGUGGCGAAGGCGGGACUCUGGGCCGAUACUGACGCUGAGGAGCGAAAGCGUGGGGAGCAAACAGGAUU
rnacentral:rRNA from 1 species